AGAGUUUGAUCCUGGCUCAGGAUGAACGCUAGCUACAGGCUUAACACAUGCAAGUCGAGGGGAAACGGCAUUGAGUGCUUGCACUCUUUGGACGUCGACCGGCGCACGGGUGAGUAACGCGUAUCCAACCUUCCCAUUACUGUGGGAUAACCUGCCGAAAGGCAGACUAAUACCGCAUAGUCUUCGAUGACGGCAUCAGAUUUGAAGUAAAGAUUUAUCGGUAAUGGAUGGGGAUGCGUCUGAUUAGCUUGUUGGCGGGGUAACGGCCCACCAAGGCGACGAUCAGUAGGGGUUCUGAGAGGAAGGUCCCCCACAUUGGAACUGAGACACGGUCCAAACUCCUACGGGAGGCAGCAGUGAGGAAUAUUGGUCAAUGGACGGAAGUCUGAACCAGCCAAGUAGCGUGCAGGAUGACGGCCCUAUGGGUUGUAAACUGCUUUUGUAUGGGGAUAAAGUUAGGGACGUGUCCCUAUUUGCAGGUACCAUACGAAUAAGGACCGGCUAAUUCCGUGCCAGCAGCCGCGGUAAUACGGAAGGUCCAGGCGUUAUCCGGAUUUAUUGGGUUUAAAGGGAGCGUAGGCUGGAGAUUAAGUGUGUUGUGAAAUGUAGACGCUCAACGUCUGACUUGCAGCGCAUACUGGUUUCCUUGAGUACGCACAACGUUGGCGGAAUUCGUCGUGUAGCGGUGAAAUGCUUAGAUAUGACGAAGAACUCCGAUUGCGAAGGCAGCUGACGGGAGCGCAACUGACGCUUAAGCUCGAAGGUGCGGGUAUCAAACAGGAUUAGAUACCCUGGUAGUCCGCACAGUAAACGAUGGAUGCCCGCUGUUGGUACCUGGUAUCAGCGGCUAAGCGAAAGCAUUAAGCAUCCCACCUGGGGAGUACGCCGGCAACGGUGAAACUCAAAGGAAUUGACGGGGGCCCG
rnacentral:rRNA from 1 species